GAGUAGAUAGUCUAACCUUAGGGAAGGCGUUUACCACGGUGUGCUUCAUGACUGGGGUGAAGUCCGUAACAAGGUAGCCGUAGGGGAACCUGUGGCUNGGAUCACCUUCCUU
rnacentral:rRNA from 1 species